GUGCCCUUUUAAGGUUGACCCAGUGCUUUAAGAGGCUAACAGAGAACGGUAAACUAAGUCUCCAUAAACCCAGAGAAGAGACUGGAAAUCUCCUCUUUGGAUCCUGUCUGGUGUCAUACCU